rnacentral:rRNA from 1 species
GUUUCGAACGCUUCGUAGUUCGGAUUUCGGGGCGGGCCGACCGGUCUGCCGAUGGGUACGCACUGGUCGGCGCGUCCUUCCUUCCGGAGACCGUGCCUACUCCUAACUGAGCGGGGGCGGGAGACGGAUCGUUUACUUUGGAAAAAUCAGAGUGUUUCAAGCAGGCAGCUCGCUCUUGCAUGGACUAGCAUGGGAUAAUGAAAUAGGACUUUGGUGCUAUUUUGUUGGUUUCGAACACCGAAGUAAUGAUUAAAAGGGACAGUCAGGGGCACUCGUAUUCCGCCGAGAGAGGUGAAAUUCUCAGACCAGCGGAAGACGAACUACUGCGAAAGCAUUUGCCAGGGAUGUUUCCACUGAUCAAGAACGAAAGUUAGGGGAUCGAAGACGAUCAGAUACCGUCGUAGUCUUAACCAUAAACCAUACCGACUAGGGAUUGGAGGAUGUUCUCCGAAUGACUCCUUCAGCACCUUACGGGAAACUAAAGUCUUUGGGUUCCGGGGGGAGUAUGGUCGCAAGGCUGAAACUUAAAGGAAUUGACGGAAGGGCACCACCAGGUGUGGAGCCUGCGGCUUAAUUUGACUCAACACGGGGAAACUUACCAGGUCCAGACAUUGUGAGGAUUGACAGAUUGAGAGCUCUUUCUUGAUUCAAUGGGUGGUGGUGCAUGGCCGUUCUUAGUUGGUGGAGUGAUUUGUCUGGUUAAUU